UACGUAGGUGGCAAGCGUUGUCCGGAAUUAUUGGGCGUAAAGCGCGCGCAGGCGGUCCUUUAAGUCUGAUGUGAAAGCCCACGGCUCAACCGUGGAGGGUCAUUGGAAACUGGGGAACUUGAGUGCAGAAGAGAAAAGCGGAAUUCCACGUGUAGCGGAUGAAAUGCGUAGAGAUGUGGAGGAACACCAGUGGCGAAGGCGGCUUUUUGGUCUGUAACUGACGCUGAGGCGCGAAAGCG
rnacentral:rRNA from 1 species